rnacentral:rRNA from 1 species
GAUGAACGCUGGCGGCGUGCCUAAUACAUGCAAGUCGAGCGAACGGACGAGAAGCUUGCUUCUCUGAUGUUAGCGGCGGACGGGUGAGUAACACGUGGAUAACCUACCUAUAAGACUGGGAUAACUUCGGGAAACCGGAGCUAAUACCGGAUGAUAUUUUGAACCGCAUGGUUCAAAAGUGAAAGACGGUCUUGCUGUCACUUAUAGAUGGAUCCGCGCUGCAUUAGCUAGUUGGUAAGGUAACGGCUUACCAAGGCAACGAUGCAUAGCCGACCUGAGAGGGUGGUCGGCCACACUACAACUUGGACACGGUCCAGACCCCUACGGAAGGCAGCAUUAGGGGAUCUUCCGCAUUGGGCGAAAGCCUUACGGAGGAACACCGCGUGAGUGAUGAAGGUCUUCGGAUCGUAAAACUCUGUUAUUAGGGAAGAACAUAUAUGUAAGUAACUGUGCACAUCUUGACGGUACCUAAUCAGAAGGCCACGGCUAACUACGUA